AAAUAAAAAAUGAAAGAAGAUACACAAAUUGUUAUCAAAUCUGUAUUGUUAUAAAUCAUUUAUUUUAUAUAUAUUUUAAUCACAUUAGAUGACUCAGUAGCUUUUAUUUAAGAAAAUAAGAAAAAAAUCUCUUUUGUAUAUUACUAAAUUAAUUUUAUGGUCAGUUAUAAAGAUAUUUAGAUGGACCAACAUAUUUUUUAAAGAUACUUUCCUUAAAAAUUAUUCUAAUAACGACACAUGACAUAUUUCAUAUAUUGUAAUGAUUUUCUAGAGAUUACUAUCUCAGUUUAGUCAAGUUUCCCUUAAAAGAUUCUUUGUAAAACAAAACUAAUCGGUCAACAUUAUCCUAUUAUAUGUAUAUUAUAAGUCGCGGUAUAUAUAUAAAAUCCCUCUUCUUCCAUCAUAACCCUUAACUCUCUGUCUUUCUCUGGAAUAUAUAGUAUUAGUCUCUUGAAAAAUGAAAUACGCUUUGUGUUUCGUCUCAUCCCUUCUCGUGAUUUCUUUCAUACUUCUCCUUGCCACAGAGAUGAAUCUGGUGGAAGCAAGAGUUAAUGGGGAAAGAAGCAAAACUUACGUUAUUUGUGGAAACGAAAGAGUAUGCAACUGGACCUGCAUCUUUAACGAGCAUUUCACAAGAGGCCGAUGCCGACACUUAUAUUGUUACUGCUUCCGCUAGCAUUUUUAAGAUGUGAUCUUCAUAAUGUUAAUUACCUUAAAAACAUAUUAUAUUAUAUCUUAUCCCUUCUAUCCUUGUUAACUAAUUAUAUAUUCAGUUAAUAACAUACUUUAAAUAUUUUAUCUAAACUAUUUCAUAAUUAAAAAUAAUUAAUGUAUUUUAAUAAGAUCUUAAAUUUGACUCUACUUUUUUGUUUUUA